AUCACAUGACAUGUUAGCCGGCAGUGUCUUCUGAAAAGAGAGCUGUUUAGAGGUGAGUGAUUAAGUUUUUCUCCUAAAUAGAGAUCAUUACAGAACGCCUAGUCCUACUUAAAAUACCAUUCAUUUUUCUUUUAUUUUAUCAUCUACUCGAACUGAGGAAAACGUUUGACUAACUCAAAGAAAAGUUCCGCGCCUCCCCUGCCUGUCUGCAGAGGCAGUUUUGAAUUCAGGAGCGGCAUGAUGGCAGCGGCAAACCCUGGCGGUUCUCCGGGUUCGUGGCAACCACGGAUGGGAAAAUGUGGAGGUUGCACGGCUGAUGUUUACUGUUCGUGGCACAGGAAGAGGCAGUUUCAUUUCAGGAAUGAGUGUGCACAAUCAAAGAAUAGAGCGACUGUGGAGAGACCUCUGGGUGGCCGUUACAUGCAUUUACUACGAUGUUCUUCACAACCCUGAGGAAGAAGGCCUUCUUGACAUUUCAAAUGCUGCACACCUCUUUUGCUGCCAUUACAUCUUUCUUCCUCGACUAGAGGAUAAUUUUAAUACAUUUUGCAGUGGAUGGGACAACCAUCCACUGCGAACAGAAAACAACAUGAGUCCCCCAACCAGCUGUGGGAGUUGGGUCACAGAUAUUACCCUGUUCCUGUUCCAGAAAACACACAGCUUAUCACACAUUUGAUUUCCAUGUGUGACGACUGCAAGUGUCCAGAGUGAGGACAGACUGAGGGACCCACUGCUGCACAUCAUCUGUGAGGCUUUGCACCCCUGAUGAUCCACCAGGACACACUCAGCAGUGUGUGAGGAAGAGGAGGAGGAAGAGCCAGCAGCAGCUGACAGAUGGAGAGAAUAGACAGACUGUUCCCUGUUUGUGAAGGACUGCUAGAAAAGUUUAAAAUAACUAAUUGUCUGUCCUGAAUCAGUCUUAUUAGGUAAUGUUCAAAUAAUUUUAUCAUUCCAGUGUUUUCAGUGUGGGAGAAAGUACUCAGGGCC